CACACACUUAAUUAAUUAAGUGUGUGNNNGCCGCGGCCAACCGGAACUUCCAGGAUACGACCCGUACAUUUAACCUUCAUGCCUUCGGCAAGGUCAGCGUAUGGACCCAUGACUACCGCACCCACGGAGUCGCGCUCCAGGUUCAAUGCGAUAGCGUAACGGUUACCCGGCAGGGAGAUCAUUUCACCCUGCAUACAAUCGGCCAGGCCGUGAAUGCGGAUAACACCGUCACUGACAGAAACAAUAGUACCUUCGUUGUGAGCUUCGCU
rnacentral:rRNA from 1 species